rnacentral:rRNA from 1 species
UACGGGGGGGGCAAGCGUUGUUCGGAAUUACUGGGCGUAAAGGGCUCGUAGGCGGCCAACUAAGUCAGACGUGAAAUCCCUCGGCUUAACCGGGGAACUGCGUCUGAUACUGGAUGGCUUGAAUCCGGGAGAGGGAUGCGGAAUUCCAGGUGUAGCGGUGAAAUGCGUAGAGAUCGGGAAGAACAUCGGUGGCGAAAGCGCUCUACUGGACGGUGACUGACACUCAGGGACGAAAGCUAGGGGAGCGAAUGGG